rnacentral:sRNA from 1 species
UUUUCUAUAUAGUAUU